GACGAACGCUGGCGGCGUGCCUAAUACAUGCAAGUAGAACGCACAGUUUAUACCGUAGCUUGCUACACCAUAGACUGUGAGUUGCGAACGGGUGAGUAACGCGUAGGUAACCUGCCUGGUAGCGGGGGAUAACUAUUGGAAACGAUAGCUAAUACCGCAUAAUAUUGAUUAUUGCAUGAUAAUUGAUUGAAAGAUGCUAUUGCAUCACUACCAGAUGGACCUGCGUUGUAUUAGCUAGUAGGUGAGGUAACGGCUCACCUAGGCGACGAUACAUAGCCGAGCGGAGAGGGUGGGGGGCCAGGCUGGGAGUGGGAGGCGGGCGAGGGGGCGGGGGGAGGGGGCAGUAGGGGAGCGGCGGGAAGGGGCGAGAGGCGGACCGAGCAACGCCGCGGGAGGGAAGAAGGUUUUCGGAUCGUAAAGAUCUGUUGUAAGAGAAGAACGGGUGUGAGAGUGGAAAGUUCACACUGUGACGGUAUCUUACCAGAAAGGGACGGCUAACUACGUG
rnacentral:rRNA from 1 species